UACGGGGGGGGCAAGCGUUGUUCGGAAUUACUGGGCGUAAAGGGUUUGUAGGUGGCUUGCUAAGUCAGACGUGAAAUCCCUCAGCUUAACUGGGGGACUGCGUCUGAGACUGGCAAGCUCGAGUGCAGGAGAGGAACGCGGAAUUCCAGGUGUAGCGGUGAAAUGCGUAGAUAUCUGGAGGAACACCGAUGGCGAAGGCAGCCCCCUGGGCUAACACUGACGCUCAGGCACGAAAGCGUGGGGAGCAAACAGG
rnacentral:rRNA from 1 species